AUGGAAGAAGUAAAGGUACUAGGGUACUGGUCAAGUCCAUAUCCUUACAGGGUUAUAUGGGCUCUGAAACUCAAGGGUGUCAAAUAUGAAUAUGUAGAAGACGACAUAUACAAUAAGAGUGAUUUGCUUCUUCAGAGUAACCCAGUGCAUAAGAUGGUUCCAGUGUUUUUUCAUGGUGGAAAAAUAAUUGCAGAGUCCACUGUUAUUCUUGAGUACAUUGAAGAGACGUGGCCUCAGAACCCUCUGCUACCAAAUGACCCUUAUGCAAGGGCCAUGGCUCGGUUUUGGACCAAGUUCGGAGAUGACAAGGUAAUCAAAUUUCCCUAAUCUUUUGGCUUGUUCUCCUAGAUUCAUAUGAAAUGUUACCUUUUCACUGACUGGUUCUUUUGUGUAAGUUAGAGGCCAAACUUUUUUGAGUUCUUUUGGAAAACUGGAGAUGAGCAAGCAAAAGCAGUAAAACACGCCCAAGAACUUGUGACAAUCUUGGAACAGCAUGGCCUUGGGGAGAAAAAGUUUUUCAACGGUGACGAGAUUGGAAUGACAGACUUAGCCUUCGGAUGGAUAGCAUUCUGGCUUGAGGUCAUGGCAGAAGCAGCUGGUGUACAAGUGCUGGAAGUCAAUAGCUUCCCUCGCUUGCAGGCAUGGAUUAAAAAUUUCAAGGAAGUUCAUGUGAUUAAAGAAAAUCAUCCCGAUAAGAGCCGCCUGUUAGCCUAUAUGAAAGAACGAAGGGAGGUGCAUGUCAAGCCAGCAACUUCUUGA
rnacentral:lncRNA from 1 species